AAAUUUAGGUUACCAUAAACCAAGGGCCUUCAAAGCCCCAAACAGGCCCUAAUUUCUG
rnacentral:tRNA from 1 species